rnacentral:rRNA from 1 species
GACGAACGCUGGCGGCGUGCUUCAUACAUGCAAGUCGAACGAGAAGCAGGAGCUUGCUCCUGUGGAAAGUGGCGGACGGGUGAGUAACACGUAGGAAAUCUGCCUUUGGGUGGGGGACAACAGUUGGAAACGACUGCUAAUACCCCAUAUGAGCUUGGUUGCAAUACCAAUCUUGAAAACUCCGGUGCCUAAAGAUGAGCCUGCGUCUGAUUAGCUAGUAGGUGGGGUAACGGCUCACCUAGGCGACGAUCCCUAGCUGGUCUGAGAGGAUGACCAGCCACACUGGAACUGAGACACGGUCCAGACUCCUACGGGAGGCAGCAGUGGGGAAUAUUGCACAAUGGGCGCAAGCCUGAUGCAGCCAUGCCGCGUGUAUGAAGAAGGCCUUCGGGUUGUAAAGUACCUUCAGCGGGGAGGAAGGCGAUAAGGUUAAUAACCUUGUCGAUUGACGUUACCCGCAGAAGAAGCACCGGCUAACUCCGUGCCAGCCGCCGCCGUAA